rnacentral:rRNA from 1 species
ACGGGGGGGGCAAGCGUUGUUCGGAAUUACUGGGCGUAAAGGGUUCGUAGGUGGCUUGUUAAGUCAGACGUGAAAUCCCUCGGCUCAACCGGGGAACUGCGUCUGAGACUGAUGAGCUCGAGUGCAGGAGAGGAACGCGGAAUUCCAGGUGUAGCGGUGAAAUGCGUAGAUAUCUGGAGGAACACCGGUGGCGAAGGCGGCGUUCUGGACUGCAACUGACACUGAGGAACGAAAGCCAGGGGAGCAGACGGGA